GACGAACGCUGGCGGCGUGCUUAACACAUGCAAGUCGAACGAAGAGCGACGGAAGCUUGCUUCUAUCAAUCUUAGUGGCGAACGGGUGAGUAACGCGUAAUCAACCUGCCCUUCAGAGGGGGACAACAGUUGGAAACGACUGCUAAUACCGCAUACGAUCUAAUCUCGGCAUCGAGGAUGGAUGAAAGGUGGCCUCUACAUGUAAGCUAUCACUGAAGGAGGGGAUUGCGUCUGAUUAGCUAGUUGGAGGGGUAACGGCCCACCAAGGCGAUGAUCAGUAGCCGGUCUGAGAGGAUGAACGGCCACAUUGGGACUGAGACACGGCCCAGACUCCUACGGGAGGCAGCAGUGGGGAAUCUUCCGCAAUGGACGAAAGUCUGACGGAGCAACGCCGCGUGAGUGAUGACGGCCUUCGGGUUGUAAAGCUCUGUUAAUCGGGACGAAAGGC
rnacentral:rRNA from 1 species